rnacentral:misc_RNA from 1 species
GCAUACAAUGCCGCAACAGAACCCUGUCCAUAAAAUAAAUACAUCUAUAAGAGAAAACUGCACUAGAGAUUUGCAUGAUGAGCAAGUAACUAUUUCAAAAUAUAGAUUAAUGAUAUAAACGAUAUACAGAUUAGAUCCAAUCUGCUUUUAGUUACUUAAAGAACAGAUCUACCAGGAGAAAAAUCUAAAAUUGAUGUAAGCAUGUCUCUAGACCAUACAGAAGAACUCAUUGGAAAGAAAAAGAACUACCAAUACCCUUAUAUUUCUCUAUCACAUGAACAGAACUGCCAGAAAAACAUGUUGCAACUCUUUUAUGUGCAUGAUACAUCAUAGGAGAUUGCUAAUCAUAGUGCUUUAACAGUAUCCUGAGUCUUACCACACCAUACCCAAGGACUUGCAUUGGAGAAGCACUAAGAUCUUCUAG